CUUCUGUUUCGAGUUAGCGCCACCGCAACUCUCGUUUCGUCGCUUCGCCGUCGCACCGAGUAGUCUUCCAAACUUCAUGUCGGGGCAGUGCUGCACUAUUUUUGUGCCGUCGGGAAUGUUCUCGACCACCUAGACGGUGAGCAAUUCGUGGGUGAUCAAGAGUGUUUUUGGAGAUCAAAAUCGGAGCCUUGGCAACAAGUAAGACCAGCAGAACCAAAAGGAUCAGCAAGAGCAAUUGGAUCAAGGAGCAGAGUUAGGCUUGUGAUCAACUAGUCAGUGUGGAUCCUGUAGAGUGAAGUUAAUACC